AACGAACGCUGGCGGCAGGCUUAACACAUGCAAGUCGAGCGCCCCGCAAGGGGAGCGGCAGACGGGUGAGUAACGCGUGGGAAUCUACCCAUCUCUACGGAACAACUCCGGGAAACUGGAGCUAAUACCGUAUACGUCCUUCGGGAGAAAGAUUUAUCGGAGAUGGAUGAGCCCGCGUUGGAUUAGCUAGUUGGUGGGGUAAUGGCCUACCAAGGCGACGAUCCAUAGCUGGUCUGAGAGGAUGAUCAGCCACACUGGGACUGAGACACGGCCCAGACUCCUACGGGAGGCAGCAGUGGGGAAUAUUGGACAAUGGGCGAAAGCCUGAUCCAGCCAUGCCGCGUGAGUGAUGAAGGCCCUAGGGUUGUAAAGCUCUUUCGCAGGUGAAGAUAAUGACGGUAACCUGAGAAGAAGCCCCGGCUAACUUCGUGCCAGCAGCCGCCGUAAAAC
rnacentral:rRNA from 1 species